rnacentral:lncRNA from 10 species
GCACCGGCCAGCUAGCCCCUUUGUGCGGCGGGGGCUGCGGAGUGCUCCCUCCAAGACCGGUUGCACCCCGCUUUCCUGGCCAGGACUCUGGGCGCGGCAGCUACAAAGACGACGCCGGCUGCGCUCGCGGGACCAGAGGGAGGGAGGCUGCGGACGAGUGCGGGGAGGAGUUUGAGAUGGGAGGCGCUUGCAGGGGCUCCCCCAGUUCUGCGCUGUGAGCCGGGGCACAAAGAGCCCUCUGCACUAGCGCCGCAGGACCGCGGACCCGAGUUGGAGGCAUCUGUCCACCCAUGUGGUUCCAGACACGUUCAUGUGGCCACCAUGACCCCGUCGGCAUCACAGGGGUAACCAAGGUCCACAGAACGAGGGGAAAGGGUCACUGUGGAUCAAGCCAGGCUCCUCUGAGCAGUCCAGGGUCUAUUUACAGAGAGCAGCAAGUUCCUGGGACAGAGGAGACAGAAGGGAAUUUCCAGGUUCUUCAGGACGUUCACAACCACACUGAGAAGCAUCUUUGCAGAUAAGUAUUUAAACUUACCAGCCCAUAGCCUACCAGCCUGCCCUCUUCUGGUCUGUGCAGGAAAGUGUAGUAUCCUAGAAUGCCAAAGUGGGAGGGGAAAUGGGUGAUGUAGCUCAUUCUCUUUUCUACCUCUAUGGAAGAAAGAAAGAGCCUGUCCCCAUUUUGUGGGGUCCCAGAAAGGGUGAUUUUCACACUUCACAUUUGGCGUUAGGGCUAGUAUUUCACAAACAUUACCGUCUGGAACUUUUGAAGGCUGAGUUAAAUGACUUCAUCUUGUGUACUUGUAGAACUGCUAUUAGAAGGAGGCUGGGGACUCCCUGAUGAUGUGAACCAGCCCUUCUCUUCUCAGUUUCAGCACUUUGUGAUCAUAUUUAUAAACCUUGGACAGGGCUCCUUGGCCUUAGAGUUAAGUGAAGAGUUAACACUGUGACUUUAGAUGCAUUUUUCUCAGUGUAAGUGUCUGAGCUCAUCUCCAGUUCUGGACUCGUGCCCCCACUCCCGGGUGCUGACAGCAAGCUCUGAAGAUAUGCUGAGAGAGCUCCCUGACUCUCCUGACUCAGGUCUGCCAGUUGAUGAAGACAGCACAGUUGUUACCAAAAACAAAACCUGGCAGAUGGUCCUAGGUCAGGAUUAGUGGUCAUUCUCUGGUCUUCUCCAGACUGGUGACACAGGGUGGUCUUAAAAGAGUCCUAGUCCAGCCUCUGGCUCCCCGAAUUUCCUCUGGUGCAUGGGGCAUCAGGAAAGGGCAGGGGAGAAGGAGGGGGAGCAGAAAAAUAACUGAGGCUGGGCAGAAGGGUCCCUUCCAUUUCCCAUCCAUUGCUUCAAACAAUGGGUGAUUACCGUGCACCUUGAGUGAAUGUCAAGGCAGGAAGGGUUCCAGGGCCACCCAGUGUGGCAGGAGCAGAGCUGGGAUCAGAAUUCUGGAUUCCUGACUCUCCGUUCAGCUGCUAUUCAGCUAUCACCAAGCUGCUGAGUUUGUCCUACUUUCUCCUGGGUCACAUUCUGCUGUUGUUGGGAAACAGGGAGUGAGUGAAGGGAACCUGGGAACCCUUCUCCCCUCACCUUUUAAGGAUGUUCUGGGGUGGAAUAAAGAGAGGUGGAGGGUGGGGUGCCUGGGCCCAGCCUCCCUGGCUCCUGGUCCUUCUUUCUUCAGCAGGGAGUUCUGGCAAGGCCUGGGCCUGGGGAGGGGGCCUGGGUGCAGUUUUCUCCUGCGGUGUGGUUGGCUCUUUUGUCUUCCAGGAUGGGCCUGUGGGGUCUGUGUGGGGAAGGAAGGAGCUGGGAGCCUGGGCUGCCUGUGUGUCGGCUGGAUGCUGCCAGCACCGGCAUGGACCAAGCAACUUCUCUGAGCCAGAUGCUGGGGACGCAGAGGUGAACCCAGAGACAUGAUCCCAUCUGCUCAGAUCUUCAUGUCAGAACACGCUUUAUUACAGUCUCGGCAAGGGGGUGGCUCCAUCUGGGCCGCAUCUCCAGGACUCCUGGCCUGGACUUCUCUUUGGACCUCGGGUGACCUUGGAUUCUGGCCACAGUGACUUAGCGGUCAGACUCCGGUGGUUUUCUAGCCCGCUGGGUGACUCCCUGAAGAUCUCAUCCUCUUCACACCUGCCUGGCAGCCCACUACUCCCUCC